UUCAGAUCAUAUUUUCGUUUUAGAGAGAGAGAGAGGAAGAGAGAGAGAGAGAGAGAGAGAGAGAGGAGUAGAAGAAGAAUUUUCUGGGCAGAUUGUUUUAAAGGUUUAAUAAGCACGAAAUGAAAGUUAACCAUUCCUAGCAAGGAUUUAAGGUAAGAAAUAUGGCACAUGCAGCUAGAGUUGGGCAUCAGCCUUGAUAUUUGAACGCAGUUAUAAUCGUGCUUUGAAUCUGUUUAUGGAUUAUAUAGCCCUAUUUUAUAAUUGUAUCGGUUGCAUUUGAUUUCUCAAUGUUUAUCUGUGGUGGAUCAGCAUAAGUCGUAUUCAGCAAUAGCAUGCAGAAUGCAAGCCAUGAUGGCGGGGCCACCCCGAGGGUGUCGUACCCACUCGCUCGGCAUGGGCCGUUUAUAUGAUUUUUAUGUUGAAAUGAAUUAUUCGUUAUUUCUUAGUAUGUCAUGUGUUGUUUAUGCUUGAAUAAAUGUUUACGAUGCCUUGUUGGGUUUUCUUGUUGGGUCUUGGCUAAUGGAUGCUCUAUGGUGCAUGUAAGGGCGACAGAAAAGUCAAUCAACCAUGAGUUGGAGGGCUUUAGAGCGGCGCUUACAUGUUCGACCUCCUUAGCCGCCACAGUCGGGAUAUUUUUAAGGGAGUAAGAGUAUAAGUCCAUUUUGUCGCUUAUGUCGACUAUUUUGUAAACCCUAAAUGUAAUUAUAUUCUGGUAAUUUUUUUUGGGAUCACAUGUAAAUGUUUACAGUUUUAAUGGAAAAGUUUAUAUCUGUGACCAAAAA